CGGACGGGUGAGUAAUGUCUGGGAAACUGCCCGAUGGAGGGGAUAACUACUGAACGGUAGCUAAUACCGCAUAACGUCGCAAGACCAAAGAGGGGGACCUUCGGGCCUCUUGCCAUCGGAUGUGCCCAGAUGGGAUUAGCUAGUAGGUGGGGUAACGGCUCACCUAGGCGACGAUCCCUAGCUGGUCUGAGAGGAUGACCAGCCACACUGGAACUGAGACACGGUCCAG
rnacentral:rRNA from 1 species